GUGGUCUGGGGAAAGGCUCCUGCGUUGCUGAACCCGCGCGGCUGUGGGUGCAGCCUUGUAGCAGGCAGCCCGAGCCUGACCUAGAGAAAACUCCCGGGAGCGGUGCCCCCGGGUGUGGAUUUGCAGUAACAGGUGUGAGCAUUCUGGCAGCAGCUUGGUGGUCAUGUAUGAUACUGCAGACAGAC